AGUGAACGCUGGCGGUAGGCCUAACACAUGCAAGUCGAACGGCAGCACAGUAAGAGCUUGCUCUUACGGGUGGCGAGUGGCGGACGGGUGAGGAAUACAUCGGAAUCUACUUUUUCGUGGGGGAUAACGUAGGGAAACUUACGCUAAUACCGCAUACGACCUACGGGUGAAAGCAGGGGAUCUUCGGACCUUGCGCGAUGAAUUGAGCCGAUGUCGGUUUAGCUAGUUGGCGGGGUAAAGGCCCACCAAGGCGACGAUCCGUAGCUGGUCUGAGAGGAUGAUCAGCCACACUGGAACUGAGACACGGUCCAGACUCCUACGGGAGGCAGCAGUGGGGAAUAUUGGACAAUGGGCGCAAGCCUGAUCCAGCCAUACCGCGUGGGUGAAGAAGGCCUUCGGGUUGUAAAGCCCUUUUGUUGGGAAAGAAAAGCAGCAGGUUAAUACCCCGCUGUUCUGACGGUACCCAAAGAAUAAGCACCGGCUAACUUCGUG
rnacentral:rRNA from 1 species